rnacentral:misc_RNA from 1 species
AAGCGGCUGGCACCCGUCCACAACUGCCACAUCUCGGGUCCUCGGACCCGCAGAACCCCGCGAAAGAAGUGCAUUAAUCUGUUAUGCGAAGUUGGGCGAGAGGCGUCUCGCCGGAUCCCCCGAGGGUCCGAAUCAAAGCGCACACCCCAUUUUCAACCACACCAAACUCUGAAUCUGAACUCGAAAGGGAGGCCUGGCUUCACGGCCGGCCGCCCUCAACCUUAUAACGUUGUAAAACUUUCAGCGACGGAUGUCUUGGCUCCCACAACGAUGAAGAACGCAGCGAAAUGCGAUACGUCUUGCGACUUGCAGAAUCCAGUGAAUCAUCAAAACUUUGAACGCACCUUGCGCUUCCGGGAUAUUCCUGGGAGCAUGCUUGUCGGAGUGUCUGUUGACACCACUCGCCAGCCUCUCUUUGUUUCCUUCGGGAAGCCGAGGGAGGCCAGCGGACUCUGCGUGUUCCGGAGCUCCCGACGCCUUCAUUGCGCGUCCGGGAAACGCUCCGAGUGCACCGAAUCUCGUGAACGAAACCUCUCUUCUGCCUGCGGCCUUGGCUGCGCAGAGUUGUUGACGGCGCUCGUACCCCUACUUACGUAUGGGUUCGGCGACUCUCGGCUCGAUAAAAAGCGCGGCCCUGCGUCCCUGCCGAGGAGGUGGUGGUGUUUUUCCGGUGGGCGGCCCUUGCGGCCGUCCCUCCGCGUUUUACUACUUUCGU